GACGAACCGUGCGAGCGUUGUCCGGAAUAACUGGGCAUAAAGGGCGCGUAGGCGGAUUCUCAAGUCGGUGGUGAAAUCGUUCGGCUCAACCGGACGAGUGCCGCCGAUACUGGGGGUCUCGAGGGAGGUAGGGGUCGCGGGAACUGGUGGUGGAGCGGUGAAAUGCGUAGAUAUCACUAGGAACGCCGGUGGCGAAAGCGCGCGACUGGACCUCUUCUGACGCUGAGGCGCGAAAGCCAGGGGAGCAAACGGG
rnacentral:rRNA from 1 species